rnacentral:rRNA from 1 species
AACGAACGCUGGCGGCAUGCCUAACACAUGCAAGUCGAACGAAGGCUUCGGCCUUAGUGGCGCACGGGUGCGUAACGCGUGGGAAUCUGCCCCUCGGUUCGGAAUAACAGUUAGAAAUGACUGCUAAUACCGGAUGAUGACUUCGGUCCAAAGAUUUAUCGCCGAGGGAUGAGCCCGCGUAGGAUUAGCUAGUUGGUGGGGUAAUGGCCUACCAAGGCGACGAUCCUUAGCUGGUCUGAGAGGAUGAUCAGCCACACUGGGACUGAGACACGGCCCAGACUCCUACGGGAGGCAGCAGUGGGGAAUAUUGGACAAUGGGCGAAAGCCUGAUCCAGCAAUGCCGCGUGAGUGAUGAAGGCCUUAGGGUUGUAAAGCUCUUUUACUAGGGAUGAUAAUGACAGUACCUGGAGAAUAAGCUCCGGCUAACUCCGUGCCAGCAGCCGCCGUAAGAC